AACGAACGCUGGCGGCAGGCUUAACACAUGCAAGUCGAACGCCCCGCAAGGGGAGUGGCAGACGGGUGAGUAACGCGUGGGAACAUACCCUUUCCUGCGGAAUAGCUCUGGGAAACUGGAAUUAAUACCGCAUACGCCCUACGGGGGAAAGAUUUAUCGGGGAAGGAUUGGCCCGCGUUGGAUUAGCUAGUUGGUGGGGUAAAGGCCUACCAAGGCGACGAUCCAUAGCUGGUCUGAGAGGAUGAUCAGCCACAUUGGGACUGAGACACGGCCCAAACUCCUACGGGAGGCAGCAGUGGGGAAUAGUGGACAAUGGGCGCAAGCCUGAUCCAGCCAUGCCGCGUGAGUGAUGAAGGCCUUAGGGUUGUAAAGCUCUUUCACCGAUGAAGAUAAUGACGGUAGACGGAGAAGAAGCCCCGGCUAACUUCGUGCCAGCCGCCGCCGUAAGAC
rnacentral:rRNA from 1 species